CAUUCAUGUCUGUCAGACAAACAUGCCUGCCCUGUGCACACCCAUGUAUGCACUUGCUGUCUCUGCAAGCAUACGGUUUCCUGAUGAUGUAAACACACUGGGUGUUGUUGAAUUGGCCUAAAUCGUUCUGAUCCUUAGGUUUCUCUUUCCCUUCAUAUUACAUUGUUCUAUGCUUAGAUGUAUCUUGCUAUUAUCUGGUUGACACCAGCAAAAGGCACAUGGUCAUUCUGGAGUCUGCUAAAUCUUACAAGCAUAUCUUAUAAGAAGUAUCCAAAAAAACCCACUCUGACUAUUGUUUCACUCUGAAUUUUAUGCACAAGCCAAUGGAGCUUUGCGCAUGCUUGAUCACUAGUUUCUGGAAGAGGACUGGAGGGAUGAAUAGGCCAUACUGCCAGCAGUGCAUGACAUUGCUGAUAAGAUACCCAAACUGGCACUGGGACAACUCACAGGAUUUACAGCUGCCUCAAUGUGGAACAGGACAGUUUGCCUUUUGCCAAGAAAGUCCUACUUUUGGCUUGCAGCAGUAGGGAGGAGAAGUAACAGCCCUCCCUGGAGAUUGCACUUGGUCACCCAGAUGAAAGAGAGGGAAAGACAGCAAAGAAAUAUAUGUUCUCCAGAGGAAAUGAAAAAGGAAAAUGGUCAGACAAAUGCUAUAUGUGCCUUUGAUCUAAAAGGACAGAAGAUAAGAUCUAAGGCUGACAGAAAAGCAGAGUGUUUGCAGGCUGUUAAGUUGGGAAAAAUCCUUCCAAAAAGAAAGAAAGGAUGUGAAGAGAACUGGCUGGCUGGAAAGAGAAGAAAGAACAGAUGUGAGAGAUGUUCCUGGGAAGUUCAAAACACUUCUACAUGGCAGAAUGAGACCAUCAGCAAAGAGAGGAUGAGACUGUGGAAAAAGGACAAAAAGCAGUGAUAGGGAAGCACAGAACAGUGGCUGAGCAUGGAAAUCCUGAAGACUAAGGAGAACUCCCUGGAUGAAAGCUGCAGAAACGGCUGCAGAAACACAAUGCUCCUGAGCCUGUGAGUUAGGCACAGCUCAAGCUCAGGAAGCCACAUCUCCAGGCCAGCACCUUUUGUUCCUUGUUUCAAGAUAAGGGGCUAAAAAGGUCUGGUCUCCAUGUCAGGAGAUCACCUGCACUGUCAGCCAGGGUGGUGGGCACAGCACGAGGUCUGUGGUUUCUCCCCAUGUUUGGCAGAGAAUGUCUCUGGAGUCUGCCAGGGCUGAGGUCUAAACCAAAAUUAGGGGAGACUGCCAAAUCAAGCACGCAGGCUGCUGGACAUGAAAGGACACCCGACUGGCUCUGUGUCCAUUCCCAUUGCCUUCUCCCUGGAAAGAGACAGAGGCUACAGAACACUUUGGAGUAGAAAAAAGAGCCAAGAUCACUUAGAAAUGUUGGCCUGCUGUAUGUGUGAGAUAUAAAUACUCCCUCAUUGUGGAUGGAGGUUUGGGAGGCUUCAGACUGACUGGAGACAUCAUGUUGUCACACGCCAGCCCGUUGGAAAGCAGCUGGAAAGUCACCACAGAACAAAUUACUAUUCACAGGACAAAUCCCUAAAACAAUGCCUGUCCUUCAAGUCCUGGUGGCUCAGCAGGACAUAGCACGGUUUAGGACACUGGGGCAUCAGCUGCCCAGCCAGAGGACCUUGGUGGCCUGUUGCCAAGAGGCUAAGGUCUGUGCCCCAUUUGCGUGUGCUCAGUAAGAUAUUAAGCAGUGUUCAGUGAACACAUUCGGAGCCCUGCAAGUAACCACAGCACUUCAUCAAACUCAGAGGGAGGAGGGUUUGCACUAUGCUUUGAGAAGCAAGGGGAUGAGAAAUAUCAAAUACGAGACAGUCACGGCAACCACACUCUGAAACCAAGGCUUUAUUUUUGACACAACGCACAGUGUUUUCAAACUGUUAAAUGACCAUCUUUCCUGGGCUUGUGCAGACCUGCAAUAGGAAAUGCCUGCUCACAGGUGUAUAAGUAUUUCCAAAGAGCUUUGUAACAAACAACAGCUCAUAUAUGCAACCAUCACCAACUAAGCAACUAUACAAAUUCACUGUGCUUUCUUGACAAUCUAAACUGUGGCACCAUAAUUUGAUCAGUUCUACCUCAGCUUUCAUUUCAUCUUCUUCCAGGAUCAUCCCAUGAUGAGAUGUGUAGGAGCAUGAGAAUGGUGAGGACACCAGCACUCUCUGCAGCCUCCCCUUUUUAAAACCAGGAAGCAGAUAGGAGAGGAAGGACAUAAACCUCUCUUACCUUCCCAGGAUUGGAAAGCUCUAGCAAAGACUUUCUGUGAGGUGUCCUACCUGCUUGUCCUGCAUGUAGUCAACAGAGACUCCAUGUGCUUUAAUUGUCCCAGCUUCCGAGCCAAGAAACUCCAUGGUUUCCUGUUGAUUUGGGCUUUACUCCUGCACAGAUUACCUGAACCUUCCCAACCUGAUGCUUGCAUGUCAGUGAAGUCGUGUAAAUAAGAUAUCAGGCAUGCUGUUUCUUCUGGCACAUGCAAGGCAUAAUGAAGAUGGCAACAGACCUUGGAAGCCUAACAGCAGCAAUCUGGCUUGCAGAAAUAGAAGUGUGAGUCACUUCUUUAGAAUCCCCAGUUCUGCACACUCACAAACUGACACAGAGAGGUACCUUCAGCAGACAUCUGAGUGUGCGCUCAGGGUUAUCCGAGAGAGCACAGGGUAUAUCCUGGGUGGUUCUCUCUGCCUUCUAUUCAAGGAGAUAGGGGAAGAAAUAGCCAUAUGCCCAUGGCGUGGCUAAACUCUAUAGGCAUAAUCAAAAAUGUCACACAGGAUGUUAUCUAGGUUUCCUGCCUUUUUUUCAUGCAUGUUGCUGCAGCAGCAGAUUCAGUGUUUCUCUACAACUAACAAAGAAAAUUUAGACAAAGGUAUCUUAGGAUCAAAUAUACUAAUCCAGGAUCCUGGAUGAGGGAUGGAUUUCUUCUCUAUUGUCCCGGUGGGGAAGACUAGAUACUGAAGAGACAGACAUUCCUGCAGUGGGUGUGUUGAGGAAAAAAUUGGCCGUCAGACACAUUCAGCUGAUGGAGUUACAUGUCACACCCAAAGUGUAACACUGCCCAGUGCUUGCCUCGAGGUCUUCCACAGUAUACAGUCUCCUGAUUUUACUUCUUACGUACUAUGGAAGAGGCAGAGGAGUCCUCUGGGACUGAGCACACCUUUUCUACCUGCACUCUGGCAGACAACUCCAGCCCCAGGGAGCCCAGGAGGUCCCUCACUGCGGUAACUCUACAAGUUGUUUGGAGAUCAGCAACCUAGGGGAUAGUUGCAGCCUCUGGCAUGCCUUCUCCCUAUUAACCUGCAUAAAUCAGUGAGUUCGCAAAGAACUUAAACAGAUGAAAAACUGUCAUCUAAUAAGAAAGAUGUAAAUCUAUUUCAUUCUUGAUCCUGAAUUUAUAUACUGAGUUAAUUUAGAUACAGUAUUGGGUGGAUAUGUAGGAUCAGAAUUACUGCUAAUGUUCAGAAUGUUCAGAAUGCCUGAUUCAUAUGUGAGUUCUUCUGACAUAAGUAUCAGAAUGCUGAUAGACAUAGUGUACAAGUAAAAAUCUGGUACCUCAGGUAAUCACAAGGUUCUAUCAGUAUCUCUUUCAAGGAUAGUUUGAUCCUUCCCAUUCCUCCAAAGCUGAAUGUCUAAAGAGAGCUGUGUUGUUGCUGUGAAUGGAGAUCUGCAUGUAUUUUUUUCCUUCGUGUGUUUUACAGGGAAAAAAUAGUGAUAAGAGGAACCAAAGGGAAUGAAUCUUUGAUGAUGUCCUUGUCACUUGAAACCAUUCACUGGAACAAGGAGAAGUCACCUGUACACCCUUGUUUUUUUCAUAGGAGACAUCUGUAACAAAGAUGCAAACUGGUUUAUUCACAUCCUGGAAGUCAGCAUUGACCAGCUGGUUACUGAGCCACUGUUUCUACACAGACAGAGCCACAUGCCCUCCAAGUACUUCAUCUUUUCUUACUCCUUAAUUGGAAAAAAUGUUGAUGGGAUGACACAUAAUCAGUAAUUUUGUCUUACUAAAGACAAGACAAAUGACUGCAGCAUCUUAGCAUGAGAUUUGCUGUUGCUGUGGAAUCACUGUGGCCACUGAUUUGUUGCUUCAGUUGAUGCUUUCUGACCUUCCGCAAGUAAUGCAUUAUUUCACUUAAGCUUCAAACGUGAAGCAAUAUGGUAAUCUGCUAUUGCUUCAGCAAGUUUUCUGAUUAUCGACCUUGAAGUAUGCAUACAAGCUAUCAUUGUUUUCAUCAUUUUGUUUUCUCAUUCCCACUGGUGGUUGACGCUAGCUCCACUUGAAAACAAGAUUUUCUUGACUGACUUUAAUUUAUGACCUAGCUACACUCAUUUUAAGCUUGCUCAACUUCCUUCAAGGCAGAGUCACUUAGCAUUAGCAUCACAGGUAACUCUCCUUUCCUAAGCGUGUUAACUUGGAAGAUUUUAUGGAGACUUUUUCCUGCAUAAUUUAGAACUCGUGAAAAAUGAAAAAGAUAUAGGCUAAAAACAGGACAUGGAAAGCUCAGAGCGCAUUCCUAUGCACGAAAAGUACUGGGGGAAGCUCCAUAAGACUGCAGGAGUGCCACAGUUAAUGCAGAAAUUUAAUUACAGUCUGUGCUUCCUAGGAGUGAAGGGGACUCUCAGGACUUCACACAGCAUGGCAGCAACAUGGGGGAAAAGGGCUACAGUGCAGAAUGCCCUAGAAAACCAAGAAAAUGCUCUGAAACAGCACUUAAGGGAAACAGAGCUCCUAAAGGAGGAUGUAGAAAGAACAGACAGGAAAUGUGAUCCCUCCAGCAGCCUGGGUGGAUGGAAAUCCUUGGGUCUCUCACCACAGAGCAUCCUCUCUGGGUCUUAUUCACUCUCAGUGCUUUUCCUUGUUCCAUCUUCACUGCCCCAGCAUCACACUGAGAGCAGUACGGCUACUCAGAGCAGCAGCCACUCCAAGAAGAGCCUCAUUAGUAUCAAACACAGUGCCAGAAUGCGCCUUGUCAUUGCAGGUGACUUUUUGGCACCACCCCCCGUGGCUUUCUGCUCAGAUGUGACCAUGGAUAGGAUCUUCACCUCCACACAGCUGAGGGUCCUGUGGCAUUCCUGGUGUGUGGAAGAGGACAGGAAGGCCCCAUCUGCAGGGAUGUUUUCAAUUCUCCCUGACUUUGGUCAAGACUGCAGAAUUCAUAGAUCCUCUUGCUCUAAUCAGAGAGGCCUUGUGGAGCUGUUUAUCUACCAAAUUUCCCAGCACCUCUUUCCACUGGUUACUUUCUUGUCUGGUAUGCCUGGUUUAUAUUUGCACCCAGGUACAUCAUCUUAUAGUUGGCUUUUCUGAGUUGCACAGUGCUUUUCCACGGAGCCACCCAGAGCAAUCUGUAUCACCAUCUGCCUCUCUUCCAAUUCUUCCUCUUUAUCUCAAUUGGAAGUUCUUUUUGCAAUGUUGUUUUAUCAGUUUUGUUUUAUCAGGCCAUUGAUCAAAUUAUAAAAUGUCAGAAAGCUCUGUAGAAGUACACUUAACUGGUAAGUGCUCAUAUGCAAUUUCAUUUGUGACACACUAGAGUACUUAAUCUAUUUAAUGUUUUGAUGGGCUAUUGACACUUAAAUACAAAUAUCAUACGAAUCCAAAUACAAUAUCUCUUUAUAUCAGCACCUACGCUGCAAACACUCAACAAGCAAUCUCAAAAAACAAAACUAAAUGAAAAAACAGCCUACUUUGGAAAGACGUAUGUACAGCAGUUCUUCGCAUCUUGGCUUACAUUAUAUUACCAUCUCUCAGUUUUUGAUUCACUGAAAUCUGCAUUAAUGUUACUUUUCCUAAGAUGAAGAUCAGAAUGCGUCCUAGACUUACUUGUCUGCUUUACACUUUUAAUUAUUAGCUCAGCUAUGGCACUAUCCCUCUUCUUUGGAAUUUUUCCAGUGCCCCAGAAGGUAUUCAGAGUCAGUUUUGUUUAUUUACAAGUUUUUAUGGGUUUUUUGUUUUAAGUGUUCAGAUUUAAAUUGUCUUGAUUUACUCAUUUCCCAAAGGCUUCUUAAUAGCUUCACUUUUCUAUUAUCUUCUAAGAUCUUUCAAGAAAGAGUGUUUCACUGCCAUUAUCAAGCAUGAUUUGUUAUAAAAAACAUGUACCUGUCAUUUGUGAUAGUCCAUAAUAAUUAUUGACAGUUUCUCUAUUUCAAAACAGUUUUAUCAAUUACUUCUGUUCCUGCAUAUCUGCUGUUACUCACAUUAGGUUCUUUCUUGUGCUCUUUUCCUUUCCCUGAUAGUAUUUUACAGUAUAUUGGCCUCCUAGUUACAUAUGCAUUGUGAUCAUUUUUCUCCUUCUCUUUGAAUUUUGUCACAUUUCAUUUUCCUUCAUAAAUUUGUUUUAAAAUCAAUGUAAAUUUCUGUUUUGAACAUAGAUUGCUGUUUUUAAGCUACAGAUGUUUGUUAGUAAGUCUCAAUUGUUUAAUGGUUUUCUAUCAAUAAUUGCUCAAUGAUUUGCCUUACAAUUAUUUUCAAGAUCGAAAAACAGUCCUCUGCAAAGUUCAUACAGAAGUAUGUAUUUGUUUUUUUAUAUUUUUAUAACGCAUAUUUUUAUAUGCAUAAUGCAUGUAAUGCAUUAUGCAUGUAAUGCAUAAUGCACAUUUUUAUAUGCAUAAUGUAACACAUACAUGGAUUUGCUUAUAUACAGAGUGACAAAACCGUGUAUCCUGAUCACACAAGAAUAAAUAAUCACUAACUCACAACUUCUUUUGUCAUUUUUCCUUACCUGAUAACAUGAGAGGUCUAAUACAGAAUUUUCUGUCCUGGAUGUAAACUUUUCUGAGGCAUCCUUAAAAUUCUGGGGUCUCAGAAACAUUAUCAGCAUGAGACCACCAAAAAGAGACAAAGAGUUCAUUGAUCACAGGACAAAUGAAAAAAUUAUGACUGUCUUUUUUCUUUCUUUAGUGGAAUUUGAUCAGUUCUGGAAAUGGUCCUGGUUGGCAAAGUCAGUAGGCAUGUAUUUAAUGUUCGGCAUACAGUGAAGCACUUCACAGAGUAAGCCUGAAUUGAAGCACAUCUUCAAAAGAUUUCCUGGUACCUCUAGCAUCCAUCUGAAAAAAAAAA
ensembl:lncRNA